CUUUCAACAACGGAUCUCUUGGUUCUCGCAUCGAUGAAGAACGCAGCGAAAUGCGAUAAGUAAUAUGAAUUGCAGAUAUUCGUGAAUCAUCGAAUCUUUGAACGCACAUUGCGCCCUUUGGUAUUCCAAAGGGCAUGCCUGUUUGAGCGUCAUUUCUC
rnacentral:rRNA from 1 species